AGCAAUUACGAGUUUCCGAAAAGGUUUUGUUUGAAAUUUAUGUCGGAGUUCGAGGCUUUCAUUCGUGGUUUCUUCGUCGACCUGAAAGUUAGCUGUUGUAACUUUGGAGUUCAAUAGAUUGUAGCCGUUUUCUUGUAAUGAAUUAGUCUUCCUAAAAGGUGUAGGAGAAUUGUGGACGUGUCGAUGCAUAUCAGAACGAACCUUAUGGUGAUACAACUCUGAUAGUUACCUUCAAACUGAUGGAACAAUUUUAAGUUGAGGUUUUUGUGUAGAUCUAUGUAUAGAGUUUUCAUCUGCUCAAAAAGUGACAAGCAACAAUGAUCACAAGAGCAAUUACAAUAGGAUGAGAUGAUGUUGCAACUCGGAUGUGUUACGAGACCGUGGGAGGAGGAGAUGAAGAGAAGAGUUUAUGGCCUUGAGUGCUACUUCUGAUCUUGAUAAACAUCACUCUCCAACACUAAAUUAGUUAGCUUUGUUUAUCAGUUUCUAUUCUAUUAGUUGAA